rnacentral:rRNA from 2 species
AGAGUUUGAUCCUGGCUCAGGAUGAACGCUGGCGGCGUGCCUAACACAUGCAAGUCGAACGAAGCUUGACGGAUGAUUUCUUCGGAAUGAAACCUGAUAUGACUUAGUGGCGGACGGGUGAGUAACACGUGAGCAACCUGCCUUUCAGAGGGGGAUAACGGCUGGAAACGGUCGCUAAUACCGCAUGAUGUGUUCGGAUGGCAUCAUCUGAACAUCAAAGAUUUAUCGCUGAAAGAUGGGCUCGCGUCUGAUUAGAUAGUUGGUGGGGUAACGGCCUACCAAGUCGACGAUCAGUAGCCGGACUGAGAGGUUGAACGGCCACAUUGGGACUGAGAUACGGCCCAGACUCCUACGGGAGGCAGCAGUGGGGAAUAUUGCACAAUGGGGGAAACCCUGAUGCAGCAACGCCGCGUGAAGGAUGACGGUUUUCGGAUUGUAAACUUCUUUUCUUAGUGACGAAGACAGUGACGGUAGCUAAGGAAUAAGCAUCGGCUAACUACGUGCCAGCAGCCGCGGUAAUACGUAGGAUGCAAGCGUUAUCCGGAUUUACUGGGUGUAAAGGGAGCGCAGGCGGGACUGCAAGUUGGAUGUGAAAUACCGUGGCUUAACCACGGAACUGCAUCCAAAACUGUAGUUCUUGAGUGAAGUAGAGGCAAGCGGAAUUCCGAGUGUAGCGGUGAAAUGCGUAGAUAUUCGGAGGAACACCAGUGGCGAAGGCGGCUUGCUGGGCUUUAACUGACGCUGAGGCUCGAAAGUGUGGGGAGCAAACAGGAUUAGAUACCCUGGUAGUCCACACUGUAAACG